rnacentral:rRNA from 1 species
CAGACUCCUACGGGAGGCAGCAGUGAGGAAUAUUGGUCAAUGGGCGAGAGCCUGAACCAGCCAAGUAGCGUGCAGGAUGACGGCCCUAUGGGUUGUAAACUGCUUUUAUAAGGGAAUAAAAGUGAGUCUCGUGAGACUUUUUGCAUGUACCUUAUGAAUAAGGACCGGCUAAUUCCGUGC